rnacentral:sRNA from 1 species
GAGGUCAAUCACUACAAGGGGAAGAACUACCCCAUCAUGAAUCUGCAUGAGCGGACCCUGAGCGUGCUGGCCUGCCGGGUGAGUGGGGGCCAGGAGCCAGCCCAAGGAUGGGGAGACAUUCCCACAACAUCCCCCCUACUAAGGGCCUCCCUGAGCCAGGGCAGGGGGGCUUGGGUCACUGGCAGAGCUGCACCCAGCACCCCGAGUUCUGUGGCACCUGCCCAUACCUGUUUGUUGAGGCAUGAGGAGGGGUGGUCAGGUCUCCAGAUGCUGUUCCUUCUUGUCUCAUGGAGGAGCCCCAGGGGUCCCCAGCCUGCCCAGCCCAUCCCUGCUACUCACUGGCAGCCCCGCCCCAUGUCUGAGCCGUCUCUCACCACCCUGUGGCCCUGGCUUACCAGUAGCAGGGACCGAGCAAGUCUUUCUGCCCCCACUGUCCCCACAGUACGUGUCAGAAGUGGUGAUUGGAGCCCCGUACGCGGUCACAGCAGAGCUCCUAAGUCACUUCAAGGUGGACCUGGUGUGUCACGGCAAGACAGAAAUUAUCCCUGACAGGGAUGGCUCCGACCCAUACCAGGAGCCCAAGAGAAGGGGCAUCUUCCGUCAGAUUGACAGUGGCAGCAACCUCACCACAGACCUCAUCGUCCAGCGGAUCAUCACCAACAGGUUGGAGUAUGAGGCGCGAAACCAGAAGAAGGAAGCCAAGGAGCUGGCCUUCCUGGAGGCUGCCAGGCA